GAUGAAGAACGCAGCGAAAUGCGAUAAGUAAUGUGAAUUGCAGAAUUCAGUGAAUCAUCGAAUCUUUGAACGCACAUUGCGCCCGCCAGCAUUCUGGCGGGCAUGCCUGUUCGAGCGUCAUUUCAACCCUCGAGCCCCCCCGGGGGCCUCGGUGUUGGGGGACGGCACACCAGCCGCCCCCGAAUUGCAGUGGCGACCCCGCCGCAGCCUCCCCUGCGUAGUAGCACACACCUCGCACCGGAGCGCGGAGGCGGUCACGCCGUAAAACGCCCAACUUUCUUAGAGUUGACCUCGGAUCAGGUAGGAAUACCCGCUGAACUUAAGCAUAUCAAUAAGCGGAGGA
rnacentral:misc_RNA from 1 species